GAUGAACGCUAGCUACAGGCUUAACACAUGCAAGUCGCGGGGCAGCAUGGGGGUUGCUUGCAAUCCCCGAUGGCGACCGGCGCACGGGUGAGUAACGCGUAUCCAACCUGCCCUUCACCACGGGAUAACCCGGCGAAAGUCGGACUAAUACCGUAUGUUGUCCAUUGACGGCAUCCGAUUUGGACGAAAGGCUUGGCGGUGAGGGAUGGGGAUGCGUCCGAUUAGCCAGACGGCGGGGUAACGGCCCACCGUGGCUACGAUCGGUAGGGGUUCUGAGAGGAAGGUCCCCCACACUGGAACUGAGACACGGUCCAGACUCCUACGGGAGGCAGCAGUGAGGAAUAUUGGUCAAUGGGCGUAAGCCUGAGCCAGCCAAGUAGCGUGCAGGAUGACGGCCCUAUGGGUUGUAAACUGCUUUUAUGCGGGGAUAAAGUGGCCCACGGGUGGGCUUUUGCAGGUACCGCAUGAAUAAGGACCGGCUAAUUCCGUG
rnacentral:rRNA from 1 species